CGUGAUAUCCUGUCUGAAUAUGGGGGGACCAUCCUCCAAGGCUAAAUACUCCUGACUGACCGAUAGUGAACCAGUACCGUGAGGGAAAGGCGAAAAGAACCCCUGUGAGGGGAGUGAAAUAGAACCUGAAACCGUGUACGUACAAGCAGUAGGAGCACCUUCGUGGUGUGACUGCGUACCUUUUGUAUAAUGGGUCAGCGACUUAUAUUCAGUGGCAAGGUUAACCGUAUAGGGGAGCCGUAGCGAAAGCGAGUCUUAACUGGGCGCUCAGUCUCUGGAUAUAGACCCGAAACCGGGUGAUCUAGCCAUGGGCAGGUUGAAGGUUGAGUAACAUCAACUGGAGGACCGAACCGACUAAUGUUGAAAAAUUAGCGGAUGACUUGUGGCUAGGGGUGAAAGGCCAAUCAAACUCGGAGAUAGCUGGUUCUCCCCGAAAGCUAUUUAGGUAGCGCCUCGGACGAAUACUACUGGGGGUAGAGCACUGUUAAGGCUAGGGGGUCAUCCCGACUUACCAACCCUUUGCAAACUCCGAAUACCAGUAAGUACUAUCCGGGAGACACACGGCGGGUGCUAACGUCCGUCGUGGAGAGGGAAACAACCCAGACCGCCAGCUAAGGUCCCAAAGUAUUGCUAAGUGGGAAACGAUGUGGGAAGGCUCAGACAGCUAGGAUGUUGGCUUAGAAGCAGCCAUCAUUUAAAGAAAGCGUAAUAGCUCACUAGUCGAGUCGGCCUGCGCGGAAGAUGUAACGGGGCUAAGCAAUACACCGAAGCUGCGGCAAUGUCUUUUAGACAUUGGGUAGGGGAGCGUUCUGUAAGCCGUUGAAGGUGAAUCGUAAGGUUUGCUGGAGGUAUCAGAAGUGCGAAUGCUGACAUGAGUAACGACAAAGGGGGUGAAAAACCUCCUCGCCGGAAGACCAAGGGUUCCUGUCCAACGUUAAUCGGGGCAGGGUGAGUCGACCCCUAAGGUGAGGCCGAAAGGCGUAAUCGAUGGGAAACGGGUUAAUAUUCCCGUACUUCUGACUAUUGCGAUGGGGGGACGGAGAAGGCUAGGUGGGCCAGGCGACGGUUGUCCUGGUUCAAGUGCGUAGGCUUGAGAGUUAGGUAAAUCCGGCUCUCUCUAAGGCUGAGACACGACGUCGAGCUACUACGGUAGUGAAGUCAUUGAUGCCAUGCUUCCAGGAAAAGCCUCUAAGCUUCAGAUAGUCAGGAAUCGUACCCCAAACCGACACAGGUGGUCGGGUAGAGAAUACCAAGGCGCUUGAGAGAACUCGGGUGAAGGAACUAGGCAAAAUGGUACCGUAACUUCGGGAGAAGGUACGCUCUUGAUGGUGAAGUCCCUCGCGGAUGGAGCUGACGAGAGUCGCAGAUACCAGGUGGCUGCAACUGUUUAUUAAAAACACAGCACUGUGCAAAAUCGCAAGAUGACGUAUACGGUGUGACGCCUGCCCGGUGCCGGAAGGUUAAUUGAUGGGGUUAGCGCAAGCGAAGCUCUUGAUCGAAGCCCCGGUAAACGGCGGCCGUAACUAUAACGGUCCUAAGGUAGCGAAAUUCCUUGUCGGGUAAGUUCCGACCUGCACGAAUGGCGUAAUGAUGGCCACGCUGUCUCCACCCGAGACUCAGUGAAAUUGAAAUCGCUGUGAAGAUGCAGUGUACCCGCGGCUAGACGGAAAGACCCCGUGAACCUUUACUACAGCUUGGCACUGAACAUUGAACCUACAUGUGUAGGAUAGGUGGGAGGCUAUGAAGACGUGACGCCAGUUGCGUUGGAGCCGUCCUUGAAAUACCACCCUUGUAUGU
rnacentral:rRNA from 1 species